UGCCCAAGAAGAACCGACCCUUCUGUGACGAGGACUUCACCCAAGAUGAACCAACCCGUAGAAAGAUGAAAUGACCCUUCUACGAUGAUGCCUCUUUUCCACGGGAUGUCUUCAGGAAUUUCCUGCUUACGGAGACCUGGUCAGACCCACCAUAUACAAAAGCCUGAGCAUGUCAAAAAAAAGAUUUAUGGCUUUGAUUUUAAAAUUUUAUUUUGGUCUUGAAUCUCCGUUAUCAUAGUUGCAACUUGGACUGUUGACAAAUGUAGAAGCUUUAUUCUCAACUGGUAAUUGCUUUGUUAAGAUAACUGGUUCCUGAUUUGAUUAUGA